rnacentral:misc_RNA from 1 species
GUCAUCAGUAAGUAAGCACACAGUUAAGACAACCAGUACCACGACAGCGAAGUCAUCAACUUCAGCGAAGUCAUCAACUUCAGCGAAGUCAUCAACUUCAGCGGAUCCAACUGCAGCUUCAGCAAGCCCUGGACAUACGAUACCAUCAACUGGACCUCCUCCACAAAACAAUACAACUGCUAAUACUACACAAACUAACACCACAACUGUU